GGGACAUACGGCACCAGAUGCACACAGACAUGCGGUCAGUGUCUAAAUGGAAAUUCAGAGUGUGGCACGGUGACUGGACACCCUACUAAUGGCUGCAGAGCUGGGUGGAGUGGUGACACGUGUACGACAGGCCGUGGACAUGGUAAAUAUGGCAAGAACUGCCAGCAGACGUGCGGACACUGUCUAAAUGGAAAUUCGGAAUGCGGCACUGUAACUGAAAGUCUGUUCUAACGGAUGCAGCUCUGGUUGGAAUUGAGGAUGCGUUCAUAGUAAAUAUGACGCCAACUGUAUCGAGACGUGUGGACAUUGCUUAAAUGGACACACCGAAUGUGACACGGUAACUGGACACUGUUCUAACGGAUGCAGCUCUGGUUGGAGUGGGGAAACGUG